rnacentral:rRNA from 1 species
GACGAACGCUGGCGGCGUGCUUAACACAUGCAAGUCGAACGGUGAAGCGCCUUCCUUUUUGGUGGGUGUGGAUGAGUGGCGAACGGGUGAGUAACACGUGAGUAACCUGCCCCCUUCUUCUGGAUAACCGCAUGAAAGUGUGGCUAAUACGGGAUAUUCUGGGUCUGUCGCAUGAUGGGUCUGGGAAAGAUAUUGUUUCGGUGGGGGAUGGGCUCGCGGCCUAUCAGCUUGUUGGUGGGGUGAUGGCCUACCAAGGCGGUGACGGGUAGCCGGCCUGAGAGGGUGGACGGUCACACUGGGACUGAGACACGGCCAAGACUCCUACGGGAGGCAGCAGUGGGGAAUAUUGCACAAUGGGCGCAAGCCUGAUGCAGCGACGCCGCGUGAGGGAUGGAGGCCUGCGGGUUGUGAACCUCUUUCGCCAGUGAAGCAGGCCUGCCUCGUUUGUGGGUGGGUUGACGGUAGCUGGAGAAGAAGCGCCGGCUAACUACGUG